UACGUAGGGUGCAAGCGUUGUCCGGAAUUAUUGGGCGUAAAGAGCUCGUAGGCGGUGUGUCGCGUCGGCCGUGAAAACCUGCAGCUUAACUGUGGGCUUGCGGUCGAUACGGGCAUCACUGGAGUUCGGCAGGGGAGACUGGAAUUCCUGGUGUAGCGGUGAAAUGCGCAGAUAUCAGGAGGAACACCGGUGGCGAAGGCGGGUCUCUGGGCCACUACUGACGCUGAGAAGCGAAAGCAUGGGGAGCGAACAGG
rnacentral:rRNA from 1 species